UACGUAGGGAGCAAGCGUUGUCCGGAAUCAUUGGGCGUAAAGCGCGCGUAGGCGGCCCUGUAAGUCCGUUGUGAAAGUCAAAGGCUCAACCUUUGAAAGCCGAUGGAUACUGCAGGGCUAGAGUCCGGAAGAGGCGAGUGGAAUUCCUGGUGUAGCGGUGGAAUGCGCAGAUAUCAGGAAGAACACCAACGGCGAAGGCAGCUCGCUGGGACGGUACUGACGCUGAGACGCGAAAGCGUGGGGAGCGAACAGG
rnacentral:rRNA from 1 species